rnacentral:rRNA from 1 species
GACGAACGCUGGCGGCGUGCCUAAUACAUGCAAGUCGAGCGGACUUUCAAGAAGCUUGCUUUUUGAAAGUUAGCGGCGGACGGGUGAGUAACACGUGGGCAACCUGCCUGCAAGACGGGGAUAACUCCGGGAAACCGGGGCUAAUACCGGAUAAUAUCUUCCUUCGCAUGAAGGAAGGUUGAAAGGCGGCGCAAGCUGCCGCUUGCAGAUGGGCCCGCGGCGCAUUAGCUAGUUGGUGAGGUAACGGCUCACCAAGGCGACGAUGCGUAGCCGACCUGAGAGGGUGAUAGGCCACACUGGGACUGAGACACGGCCCAGACUCCUACGGGAGGAAGCAGUAGGGAAUCUUCCGCAAUGGACGAAAGUCUGACGGAGCAACGCCGCGUGAGCGAAGAAGGUCUUCGGAUCGUAAAGCUCUGUUGUCAGGGAAGAACAAGUACCGUUCGAACAGGGCGGUACCUUGACGGUACCUGACCAGAAAGCCACGGCUAACUACGUG